rnacentral:rRNA from 1 species
GACAGAGGGUGCAAACGUUGCUCGGAAUUACUGGGCGUAAAGCGCGUGUAGGCGGUCCAGCAAGUCAGGCGUGAAAUCCCUAGGCUCAACCUAGGAACUGCACCUGAAACUGCUGGUCUUGAGUGGUGGAGAGGAAAGCAGAAUUCCUGGUGUAGAGGUGAAAUUCGUAGAUAUCAGGAGGAACACCGGUGGCGAAGGCGGCUUUCUGGACACUUACUGACGCUGAGACGCGAAAGCGUGGGGAGCAAACAGG